GUGGGGAAUAUUGGACAAUGGGCGAAAGCCUGAUCCAGCCAUGCCGCGUGAGUGAUGAAGGCCUUAGGGUUGUAAAGCUCUUUCAGUAGGGAAGAUAAUGACGGUACCUACAGAAGAAGCCCCGGCUAACUUCGUGCCAGCAGCCGCGGUAAUACGAAGGGGGCUAGCGUUGUUCGGAUUUACUGGGCGUAAAGCGCACGUAGGCGGUUUGUUAAGUCAGGGGUGAAAUCCCGGAGCUCAACUCCGGAACUGCCUUUGAUACUGGCAAGCUAGAGUCCGGAAGAGGUAAGUGGAACUCCUAGUGUAGAGGUGGAAUUCGUAGAUAUUAGGAAGAACACCAGUGGCGAAGGCGGCUUACUGGUCCGGAACUGACGCUGAGGUGCGAAAGCGUGGGGAGCAAACAGGAUUAGAAACCCCAGUAGUCC
rnacentral:rRNA from 1 species